CUUCGGGUUGUAAAGCUCUUUCANCUGGAACGAAACGGUGCGCUCUAACAUAGCGUGCUAAUGACGGUACCAGCAGAAGAAGCACCGGCUAACUACGUGCCAGCAGCCGCGGUAAUACGUAGGGUGCGAGCGUUAAUCGGAAUUACUGGGCGUAAAGCGUGCGCAGGCGGAUUGUUAAGCAAGACGUGAAAUCCCCGGGCUUAACCUGGGAAUGGCGUUUUGAACUGGCAGUCUAGAGUGUGUCAGAGGGGGGUAGAAUUCCACGUGUAGCAGUGAAAUGCGUAGAGAUGUGGAGGAAUACCGAUGGCGAAGGCAGCCCCCUGGGAUAACACUGACGCUCAUGUACGAAAGCGUGGGUAGCAAACAGGAUUAGAUACCCUGGUAGUCCACGCCCUAAACGAUGUCAACUGGUUGUUGGGGGAGUGAAAUCCCUUAGUAACGAAGCUAACGCGUGAAGUUGACCGCCUGGGGAGUACGGUCGCAAGAUUAAAACUCAAAGGAAUUGACGGGGACCCGCACAAGCGGUGGAUGAUGUGGAUUAAUUCGAUGCAACGCGAAAAACCUUACCUACCCUUGACAUGUCCAGAAUCCUGCAGAGAUGCGGGAGUGCCCGAAAGGGAAUUGGAACACAGGUGCUGCAUGGCUGUCGUCAGCUCGUGUCGUGAGAUGUUGGGUUAAGUCCCGCAACGAGCGCAACCCUUAUCAUUAGUUGCUACGCAAGGGCACUCUAAUGAGACUGCCGGUGACAAACCGGAGGAAGGUGGGGAUGACGUCAAGUCCUCAUGGCCCUUAUGGGUAGGGCU
rnacentral:rRNA from 1 species